rnacentral:snRNA from 1 species
AUCACUGCACAGUGGUAGUAUUGUAGCCAAUGAGGUUUAUCCGAGGCGCGAUUAUUGCUAAUUGAAAAUUUUCCCAAUACCCCGCCAUGAUGACUUGAAAUAUAGUCAACAUUGGCAAUUUUUGACAGUCUCUACAAAUA